rnacentral:rRNA from 1 species
UACGGGGGGGGCAAGCGUUGUUCGGAAUUACGGGGCGUAAAGGGUUCGUAGGUGGCCAACUAAGUCAGACGUGAAAUCCCUCAGCUUAACUGGGGAACUGCGUCUGAUACUGGUUGGCUUGAGUGCAGGAGAGGAACGCGGAAUUCCAGGUGUAGCGGUGAAAUGCGUAGAUAUCUGGAGGAACACCGGUGGCGAAGGCGGCGUUCUGGACUGCAACUGACACUGAUGAACGAAAGCCAGGGGAGCAAACGGG